UCUUGCAUGCAAAAGUAUAGUGUAUAAUACAAUUUGGUGCAUUAUUUAACAAUACGCGCCAAAUUUCUGUUCAAGGUAUACGCGCCAAAUCUCAACAACUAGAUCAUAACCACGUUUAGACAUCAACAAAAGCUAAUACGCCUCAAAUCUCUAUUCAAGGUAUGAAGCAAUUGGUAUGAACCUAGGAAUCAGAUCAUUUAUUGGUUUGGCAAAUGAAUAAGGUACGACACUCAAUUAGUAGCACUGGCGCGUCACUCGGCUUCUCGGCUGUGUCUUAGAAGCGUACAAAUACGCUAAAUUUGGGAAACAAAAAGUGUUUGUGGCAAUAACUAGAUGCAAUAUUCAGACACCAAAACUACUGCAAAACCAAUAAACGAUUGAUAUAUUUCUCAUAAAUUGCAGGAUGAGUUAUAUCAAUUUGUAGUAUGUUACAUACAUCAGUAGGACCUCCUGUCAAUUUCUUAGCUGCUAUUGAAGCAUCUGAAUAUUUUC